rnacentral:antisense_RNA from 1 species
CUCUAGUCUCCUCUUUCCAAAUAUAGAAAAGCUAAAGGCAAUUCUGUCAUUCUACACUUCGAUCUCCGGCUUCCGGGCCAGCACAAUGGGCAGUCCGUUUUGGGGAAGCGCGAAUGGCCCAUACUGAAUCCCGUCGCUCGCUCCAACAAUUGACCAACUGUACUUGGUGGUGAGAUGAUGAAUCAUAAUAGACAUCUCAAGCUUGGCUAAUUCAUUUCCAGGACACGAGUGGGUUCCAUUGCCAAAUGGCAUGAACGUAUUGGGUUUUGGAGCCACCUCGAAUCUUGAUGGAUCAAAUUUCCCCGGAUUAGAAAAAAUAUCAGCACUAUGAUGAAUGUUUCUGAAUAGGGGUAACACUUUCCAUCCUUUAGGUAUCAAAUAUCCUUCGUAUUCGACAUCUUCGACAGCUUCUCUGAAUGUGAAAGAUAAGAUUGAAGCGACUCUUAAUGUUUCUUGAAUAACUCUUGAAGUUAAUGGCAUCUUCUUUGUAUCUCCCCAAGUUAGAGACUCUCCUUCUUCUUUGUCUUUCCUUAUUGCCAUUUGUUCUUCAGUAACGGCUUCUAGAACGUUGGGAUUCUCGGCUAGGUACUUGAGGAUCCACGACAUCACACUCGCCGUCGUGUCUCUAGCGGCGAAGAUUACUCCGAUUAUGUUGUCGGCGAUCUGUUCGUCGGUUAGCUCUUCUUUGUCUCCCAUGAAUGAUCCGAGAAGAUCGUUGUGUGAGGAACCGUUCUGUCUUCUCUCUGAUAAGAUUCUAGCGAGGAUCUGUGAGAGUUCCUUCCGAGCUUUCAUUGAUUUGUGGAAAAGUGUUCCAGGGAGAUUCACU